AAGUUUGAUACAAAUAAAAAUUUAGAACAUAUAUGGUUCAAUUUCAACACCCAACUACAUAAACAUACUGAAUAUUUGCAUACUGUAAUUUGUAUGACAUAUCAAUGUCCUCAUUACGAGUACGUAACAGUCCAUCAUGAUACUUGAGAGAUUGCUUUCCUAUGGGUCUGUUUGUCUAUGUAUAGUUGCAAGCCUUCAAAUUUUACUCCUCCCCACCCCC
rnacentral:lncRNA from 1 species